ensembl:misc_RNA Metazoa_SRP Metazoan signal recognition particle RNA
GCCAGGCAUGGCGGCACAUGCCUGUAAUCCCAGCUACUUGGGAGGCUGAGGCAGGAGGAUCACUUAAGCCCAGGAGUUCAAGACCAGCCUGGGCAACAUAGUGAGAACCUGUCUCUA